rnacentral:rRNA from 1 species
UACGUAGGGGCCUAGCGUUGUCCGGAUUUAUUGGGCGUAAAGAGCUCGUAGGCGGUUCGGCAAGUCGGGUGUGAAAUCUCCACGCUCAACGUGGAGGGGCCACCCGAUACUGCUGUGACUCGAGUCCGGUAGGGGAGUGUGGAAUUCCCGGUGUAGCGGUGAAAUGCGCAGAUAUCGGGAGGAACACCAGUAGCGAAGGCGGCACUCUGGGCCGGUACUGACGCUGAGGAGCGAAAGCGUGGGCAGCAAACAGG